CCUACGGGAGGCAGCAGUGAGGAAUAUUGGUCAAUGGCCGAGAGGCUGAACCAGCCAAGUCGCGUGAGGGAAGAAGGCCCUACGGGUUGUAAACCUCUUUUGUCGGGGAGCAAAGAGAGUCACGUGUGACUCGUUUAGAGUACCCGAAGAAAAAGCAUCGGCUAACUCCGUGCCAGCAGCCGCGGUAAUACGGAGGAUGCGAGCGUUAUCCGGAUUUAUUGGGUUUAAAGGGUGCGCAGGCGGAGGUGCAAGUCAGCGGUCAAGUUGCGGGGCUCAACCCCGUACUGCCGUUGAAACUGCAUCCCUUGAGUGCGCGAGAAGUAUGCGGAAUGCGUGGUGUAGCGGUGAAAUGCAUAGAUAUCACGCAGAACUCCGAUUGCGAAGGCAGCAUACCGGCGCGCAACUGACGCUCAUGCACGAAAGCGUGGGUAUCGAACAGGAUUAGAUACCCGGGUAGUC
rnacentral:rRNA from 1 species